AGAGUUUGAUCCUGGCUCAGAACGAACGCUGGCGGCACGCCUAACACAUGCAAGUCGAACGAUAAGGUUCCUUCGGGAACUGGACAGUGGCGGACGGGUGAGUAACGCGUGGGAACCUGCCUAUCAGUACGGAACAACAGUUAGAAAUGACUGCUAAUACCGUAUACGCCCCUUGGGGGAAAGAUUCAUCGCUGAUAGAUGGGCCCGCGUUAGAUUAGCUAGAUGGUGAGGUAAUGGCUCACCAUGGCGACGAUCUAUAGCUGGUUUGAGAGGAUGAUCAGCCACACUGGGACUGAGACACGGCCCAGACUCCUACGGGAGGCAGCAGUGGGGAAUAUUAGACAAUGGGGGCAACCCUGAUCCAGCGAUGCCGCGUGUGUGAUGAAGGCCUUAGGGUUGUAAAACACUUUCAGAUGGGAUGAUAAUGACAGUACCAUCAGAAGAAGCUCCGCUAACU
rnacentral:rRNA from 1 species